rnacentral:misc_RNA from 1 species
AUGACGUGGACCCAUAUGGCACGCGGCCCCACCAUGGAGGGUCAAUCAACAUCAUCGUAGACUACUUCAGGUUCAAGUGGUCGUCUUCUUCUUCGACCUCAGUACUCUCAUCUGCUUACUCUCUACCUCCAUAGCCAACUAAUGUCUCUCUCUCUCACUCUCAGUCCCUUCUAUGCGGCCCCUCAAAAAACCCACUUGGCCAAUUUCCCUCUCACGAGAUAUGAACAAAGAUUUACCAUCUAUUCACCUUCAAAAUUCAGGAGCCUAACCACUGUAGUUAGAUCGGUUCAUAAGGAUUCUGGGCAUUUACCUGUGACUCCAGCAAAACCCAGAUGGGAAAAUGUGUUGUCCACUGCAG